rnacentral:rRNA from 1 species
GACGAACGCUGGCGGCGUGCCUAACACAUGCCAGUCGAGCGGGGAUUUAAGUGGAAGUUCUUCGGAAUGGAGAUUUAAAUUCUAGCGGCGGACGGGUGAGUAACGCGUGAACAAUCUGUCCCGGACAGGGGGAUAACACUUGGAAACAGGUGCUAAUACCGCAUAAGACCACGGCCUCGCAUGGGGCUGAGGUAAAAGGAGCAAUCCGGUUCGGGGUGAGUUCGCGUCCGAUUAGCUAGUUGGUGAGGUAACGGCCCACCAAGGCGACGAUCGGUAGCCGGCCUGAGGGGGUGAACGGCCACAUUGGAACUGAGAGACGGUCCAAACUCCUACGGGAGGCAGCAGUGGGGAAUAUUGGGCAAUGGGCGAAAGCCUGACCCAGCAACGCCGCGUGAGGGAAGAAGGUUUUCGGAGUGUAAACCUCUGUCCUAUGGGACGAAGGAAGUGACGGUAGCAUAGGAGGAAGCCCCGGCUAACUACGUG